GCCGGAAUGGCGAAACUGGUAGACGCACAGCGUUCAGAGCGCUGCGGGAGCAAUCCCGUGGAGGUUCGAGUCCUCUUUCCGGCA
rnacentral:tRNA from 1 species